UCGAACGGUGAAAGAGAGCUUGCUCUCUGGAUCAGUGGCGAACGGGUGAGUAACACGUGAGCAAUCUGCCCCUGACUCUGGGAUAACAGCUGGAAACAGCUGCUAAUACCGGAUACGAGCUGCGAAGGCAUCUUCAGCAGCUGGAAAGAAUUUCGGUCAGGGAUGAGCUCGCGGCCUAUCAGCUUGUUGGUGAGGUAAUGGCUCACCAAGGCGUCGACGGGUAGCCGGCCUGAGAGGGUGACCGGCCACACUGGGACUGAGACACGGCCCAGACUCCUACGGGAGGCAGCAGUGGGGAAUAUUGCACAAUGGGCGAAAGCCUGAUGCAGCAACGCCGCGUGAGGGACGACGGCCUUCGGGUUGUAAACCUCUUUUAGCAAGGAAGAAGCGAAAGUGACGGUACUUGCAGAAAAAGCGCCGGCUAACUACGUGCCAGCAGCCGCGGUAAUACGUAGGGCGCAAGCGUUAUCCGGAAUUAUUGGGCGUAAAGAGCUCGUAGGCGGUUUGUCGCGUCUGCUGUGAAAACCCGAGGCUCAACCUCGGGCCUGCAGUGGGUACGGGCAGACUAGAGUGCGGUAGGGGAGAUUGGAACUCCUGGUGUAGCGGUGGAAUGCGCAGAUAUCAGGAAGAACACCGAUGGCGAAGGCAGAUCUCUGGGCCGUAACUGACGCUGAGGAGCGAAAGGGUGGGGAGCAAACAGGCUUAGAUACCCUGGUAGUCCACCCCGUAAACGUUGGGAACUAGUUGUGGGGUCC
rnacentral:rRNA from 1 species